rnacentral:tRNA from 1 species
GGCACUAUGGCCGAGUGGUUAAGGCGCUUCCCUGCUAUACGUCAUGAUCCAUCAUGGCAGCAUAGGAAGUCCGUUCGCGGGCGCGUGUUCGAAUCACGUUGGUGUCG